rnacentral:rRNA from 1 species
ACGGCAGCACAGAGGAGCUUGCUCCUUGNGGUGGCGAGUGGCGGACGGGUGAGGAAUACAUCGGAAUCUACUCUGUCGUGGGGGAUAACGUAGGGAAACUUACGCUAAUACCGCAUACGACCUACGGGUGAAAGCAGGGGAUCUUCGGACCUUGCGCGAUUGAAUGAGCCGAUGUCGGAUUAGCUAGUUGGCGGGGUAAAGGCCCACCAAGGCGACGAUCCGUAGCUGGUCUGAGAGGAUGAUCAGCCACACUGGAACUGAGACACGGUCCAGACUCCUACGGGAGGCAGCAGUGGGGAAUAUUGGACAAUGGGCGCAAGCCUGAUCCAGCCAUACCGCGUGGGUGAAGAAGGCCUUCGGGUUGUAAAGCCCUUUUGUUGGGAAAGAAAUCCAGCCGGCUAAUACCUGGUUGGGAUGACGGUACCCAAAGAAUAAGCACCGGCUAACUUCGUGCCAGCAGCCGCGGUAAUACGAAGGGUGCAAGCGUUACUCGGAAUUACUGGGCGUAAAGCGUGCGUAGGUGGUCGUUUAAGUCCGUUGUGAAAGCCUGGGCUCAACCUGGGAACUGCAGUGGAUACUGGACGACUAAAGUGUGGUAAAGGGUAGCGGAAUUCCUGGUG